rnacentral:misc_RNA from 1 species
CAAGCCGCGGUAAUUCCAGCUCCAAUAGCGUAUAUUAAAGUUGUUGCAGUUAAAAAGCUCGUAGUUGAAUUUCGGGAUUGACGUGAUGGUCAUGCCUUAAGGGGUAUGAACUGUUACUGUUGAUUUCUCACCUUCUGGAGAAACUUGAUGUCCUUUAUUGGGUGUCUUGCGGAUCCAGGACCUUUACCUUGAAAAAAUUAGAGUGUUUAAAGCAGGCAUUUUUGCUCGAAUACAUUAGCAUGGAAUAAUAGAAUAGGACGGCAUGGUUCUAUUUUGUUGGUUUCUAGGAUCACCGUAAUGAUUAAUAGGGAUAGUUGGGGGCAUUAGUAUUCAAUUGUCAGAGGUGAAAUUCUUGGAUUUAUUGAAGACUAACUACUGCGAAAGCAUUUGCCAAGGAUGUUUUCAUUAAUCAAGAACGAAAGUUAGGGGAUCGAAGACGAUCAGAUACCGUCGUAGUCUUAACCAUAAACUAUGCCGACUAGGAAUCAGACGAUGUUAAUUUUUUAAUGACUCGUUUGGCACCUUACG